AGCUUAACUCUGCAGUGCAUUUGUCCUCCAGGGCAAGAUUUGAGGAACCCUGCACUAGACCAAGGGUACCCAAUCUGGCUCCUGGUGGGUCAAUGUCCUGCAGAGUUUAGCUCCAUCUUGCUCCAACACACCUGCCUAGACGUUUCUACAAGAUCUUAACUAGCUGUUUCAGAUGUUCUUAAUUAGGAUUGGAGCUGAACUCUGCAGGAUAGUAGCUCUUCAGGAGCAGGAUUGUAUACCACUGGACUAUUGCAUCAAGGAAUGCCCCAUUUAGACCAGAACUGGUAAUCUGACAUGAACUGAGCAAUCACUGACAAUCUGAUGCAUACUGUACUCAAAACUACCAAAGUGCUAGCAGCCCUGUCAUUUGGAGGUGCACCGGGGUCCAGAUGGAAAAAAAAGUAAUGCAUACAUGAUUUGAGGAAGACCUAUUACUGACCAUUACAAGUCUCUAGUGGUCCUGAAGACCUUGAUUAGCUGCUUCAGGUGUGUUUAAUGAAGACUGGAGCUUAUCUCUGCAAGAUAGUGGCCCUCCAGAAGCAGGAUUGACCACUACAGCACUAGACAUCUGGAAGCACAUCUGUAAAUUCUGCUGUUGGCAUCUUCAGUGCUACCAACUAGAUAAACUGGGUCUAAACCGUAUGCCAAAACUAAAGUGCAAAUAUUGCACAAACAGCUUGUCGCUGAGGUAUGGUUACACACCUUUAAGGGUACUGCCCUCAUUGUACCCCAAGCUGUUGUACCCCUAAAGUUCAAUAUUGUUCUGGAUUUUUUUCGGAGUGUUCCUGAGUGGAUUUUGGUCAAAAUAAGCUACACUGUGGACCACACUGGCUACAUUGGGGACAAAACAGAUCAGAUAAUAAAAGAUGCUCAAACACAUCAGAAGAACUGACUGUAGCAUCCAGGAUAAGAUUGUUUCCAGAACAAAUGAUAAACACCUGUGAAUCCACAGCAAUCAGACUGGAUCUGGCACUUUCAGUUAGCUCUUGCAAUUUUUGUGUACAAAAUGCAUAUGAGAACAGUUCAUCUGUGCCUGGGACCACCCAAGUGAAGAGUGACAGCAAGAUAUAAACCUAAC
ensembl:lncRNA